UACGUAGGGUGCAAGCGUUAAUCGGAAUUACUGGGCGUAAAGCGUGCGCAGGCGGUUCGCUAAGACAGAUGUGAAAUCCCCGGGCUUAACCUGGGAACUGCAUUGGAUACUGGCAGGCUAGAGUGCGGUAGAGGAUGGCGGAAUUCCCGGUGUAGCAGUGAAAUGCGUAGAGAUCGGGAGGAACAUCUGUGGCGAAGGCGGCCAUCUGGACCAGCACUGACACUGAGGCACGAAAGCGUGGGGAGCAAACAGG
rnacentral:rRNA from 1 species